UGAGUAGCAGCGUAGUGCAGACGGUAAUGUGUGGGCCUCCUCGCCAAGUACAAUAUUUCGUCAAGUCUUUCACCACUUAAAAAAGGUCUUCCUCGGCGGGAAGGUCAUACACCAGGAUUGAGCGUUAGAGAAAGGGGAAUGAACACAAGAAAAACAUCUACAUCUGAUGGACGGUUAAUCAAAUCCAAUUAAAAUCAAUUAAAAGUUAUGAAGGUACGCACACUCACAAUAGUGAUGCAGAAUUUAAGUACCACCACGAUGCGAGUGAUAUGGUCGAGAAGGAGGCUACGGACCACGUCAUGUGUUUCAAUUUAAGGGAAUGUGAACAUUAAUUUAUUUGGCAUAACUGUUGCAUUUGAGAGCCCUCAUGUUAGAUGAUGAUUUUUUGCAAUCAUGGUAUUGUUUAGCAGAUGUCCAGAAUGGGGGAAUACGCGAAGGAAUAAAUUAACACAAGUUAAGUAAUGCAGAGUUAGUUGAUGUAUGGGAAUAAAUUACUUUAUCCGUAAGUUAUGCUCAUAUGUGUCCUAUGUUUCAUAACAAAUAUGAAUAAUUAAGGAAUAAU